rnacentral:rRNA from 1 species
AGUGAACGCUGGCGGUAGGCCUAACACAUGCAAGUCGAACGGCAGCACAGUAAGAGCUUGCUCUUACGGGUGGCGAGUGGCGGACGGGUGAGGAAUACAUCGGAAUCUACUUUUUCGGGGGGGAUAACGUAGGUAAACUUACGCUACUACCGCAUACGACCUACGGGUGAAAGCAGGGGAACUUCGGACCUUGAGCGACUGAAUGAGCCGAUGUCGGAUUAGCUAGUUGGCGGGGUAAAGGCCCGCCAAGGCGACGCUCCGUAGGUGGUCUGAGAGGAUGAUCCGCUACCCUGGAACUGAGACACGGUCCAGACUCCUACGGGAGGCAGCAGUGGGGAAUAUUAGGCGAUGGGCGCAUGGCUGAUCCAGCCAUACCGCGUGGGUGAAGAAGCCCUUCCGGUUGUAAAGCCCUUUUGUUGGGAAAGAAAAGCAGCAGGUUAAUCCCCCGCUGUUCUGACGGUACCUAAAGAAUAAGCACCGGCUAACUUCGUG